CACAGGUGGGAUUGCGUUUGAGAUAUUGAAUAGGCAGUUAAGUGAUGAUUAGGUGGCCUUAUGGUGCUAGAGUCCUAAGAGGAAGAGUAAGAGGAAUAACCAAUGGGAAGGAUGAAUCUAUAGAUGAUUGGUUGGAACAUCAAUAGCGACGAGCAUCACUCUAUUUUAGGACUGAACACUGAAUCACUAAAGUGUGGGUAGCAACCGG
rnacentral:rRNA from 1 species